AUAAUCAAUCAGGAUGUUAUAACAUGAAGCGAAUGCAAAUGCAUUCAGUCAAAAGUGAAUGAGUCGAGCGCAGCCAACUUAAUGUUGUUACAGGUACAGCGAACUUCACUUGUCUCCAUCAAGGAAAAUUAGUAUAUAAUAUAAUAUAUAUAUGAUAUUGAAACUGAACAAUGUGAUAAAGCAAAAAUAUUUAAUAUGUGAAUAAACUCAAGUACCUCAGACUUCAGGCACUUGGAUUUUUCAGUUGAAAUGGAAAUUGACAUAUGUGAACACGUAACACUAUUUUAUUCGCAUCCCAGAAACUUGAGUCGCGCAAUAAACACCAGGCAUACAGAAUGACAGUUUGGGGCUUCGACUUGGGCCUCACUUGUAGGAUGCCUGACCUCCAAUGACCAGAGACAGGUUGGACUUGUCCGUGUCCAGCGUCGGUCGUUGCGUCGGCCCAGUUACAGCGAGCAAGCCUCAAUCUCUAGCAUCUGGAGUUGUCUAACUGUUAUUGUUAUACCCUGGACCCAUUGAAAAUGGGAAAUCAGGGUAUAAUGGUUUUGUUAAAAAAGCUCUUUCACUUUCUACACAGUCAUUCUGCUGUUGAAAUUGCCGCCCUCGGUGUUGGCCUUUGACUUUCGCUCACAGACCCGGGGCAGAAGGUAUGGCACAGGCGUGUCUCAAUUUAGAAAAUGCCGUUCAAGAAGUUGCUGUCGCCACACUACAACAGCAACAGCAACAACAGCAACAACAACAACAACAAUAAUAAUAAUAACUAAAAACAACAGUAAAUAAUAAAUAGUACAACAACUAUAGCCGUAAGCAACAACAAGUUUUACGCACAGCAGCAACUCGAGCGUCACUAAAAAAGCGUUUAAGACAACGGCAAUAUAUCGCUCAAACUGUUAGAGAUGGGCGCGUGCGCACUCCACAAGGCUGGCAACGACUUCACAAUAUCACUACUUCAGAUUAGUUACAAUACGCAUGUAUUAAAGUUUGUUGAUCCUAGCUUGACAGCCCUUCAGCAUACCUUCACAUACCUAUUAGUAUAUAGAUUGUUAUGUAUAGGUCAAUAUGUAUAGAUCGAUAUGUAUAGAUCAGUAUGUAUGGGUAGAUAUGUAUAGAUCAAUUUGUAUAUGUAUGUAUAUAUAUGUGUAGAUCGAUAUGUAUAGAUCGUUAUGGUUGGAUCGAUAUGUAUGGAUCAAUAUGUAGUAUAGAUCGGUAUGUAUAGGUAGAUAUGUAUAGAUCGAUUUGUAGAGAACGUUAUGGAUCGAUCUUUAUACAUCAAUAUGUGUAGAUCGAUAUGUAUAGAUCGUAAUGUUUGGAUCGAUAUGUAUAGAUCAGAAUGUAUACUUCGGUAUGUAUAGAUCGGGAUGUUUGCGCAGAUAUGUAUAUAUCGUUAUGUAUGGAUCGAUCUAUGUAGAUGUAUGUAUAGUAUGUAUAGAUCGAUAUGUAUGGAUCGAUAAGUAUAGAUCACUAUGUAGAUUGAAUUGAUCAAUUUUCAAUAGAUCAUCAUAGAUCGAUCUGUAUAGAUCAGUAUGUAUAGAUCGAUAUGUAUAGAUCAAUAUGUAUAGACCAGUAUAUAUAUGUAUAAGGAUAUAAUCAGAUCGAUAGAUCGGAGUGCAUAGAUCUGCAUAGGUCUCCAAUGCUCUACAACUAAUCUAGAAUGAAACAGUUUUCUUUGGCUUUAUACAUCGAACUAUACGUAUUAAUUAAUAUUUUACUACUAGGUAUAGUUUUCUUUGAUAAUUUGUCAUACUCACAUUGACUGUUUACACAUCAUAUCCUGUCUAGUUUUCUGCUACUCUUGCUCGACUGAACCAUUUGGGCUCAAGCUGAAAUAGGUUUUAUUCAAAAAUAUUCAUAAAUAUUUAUAAUUAAUUACUUAAAAUAAGUAAACAUUUACUUAAAUAAAAAAAAACUAAUACUUGAAAAUAGAAAAAAAAUAGAUAUCAAAAUUAAGCUCGACAUCGUGAGUCACGCUCCCAUCAUCUGCAGAGAACGAAAGCCGCAGCAGUGUGAAAUGGAUAACCAGCAUGCCGAAGGAGGCCAACUAAGCAAACUGUGUCUUACUAUAUAUAAACACAAGUAAAUUUACUAAAUAUAUAUUAUAAUGGGUAAGAGCCAACAUGAUCAAGAUUAUCAAACUCAGAACUAUUGUGUUAGCUAAACUUUAGCAAACUCAUAAUUACAUAUACUUGUAUAUAUGCAUGUAUAUUUGUGUAUAUUUCUGUAUAUCAGAGACAUAUGUAUGUGAAUUGCAAGUGAAAUUGGCAUUAAACCAGUCUGUAAAUUGGUAAACUCUUUACCCAAAAUUGUUGUUCAAAAGGCCCUCUUCAGUUGUCAAAAAGUUUGUCACACUUCCAACACAAUUUUUGAUCCGACUUCAUUAUGCUCGUUCCUGUCUAAACUUACUAAAAUAUUCCAUAAUUUUAGACGUAUUAUCUUAUAUAAUUGCUGACUUCAAGAUCUCAGCUUAAAGACUGCGGAAGAUUCACCAGAUGAUAAAUGUUUGAUCUAUCAUUGCAAGAUCCUCUGGUCACUCACUCAUCAUAGAUUUGUAUUCUAGUUCUGCUACUCAGCUGCAUGACUGGCCACGCCCAUCCUUUAUACACGUGUAUAGCAUGGGCAUGUAAGUUAUAUAUUAAUUACCUCUUUAGCGUUUCUUUAUUAUAUUUCCAUUUGUUUAUUACAGAGUUGUUUUUCAAAGAGUUGCACUUAAUGUCAAUUUCACUUUUCACACUCAACAAUAAACACGGUGUCACAUGAGCUUAUCGUACCACUUAAUACCCUACACUUGCUUGGAGCCCAACUCAACGAUUAUUUAUAUAAGAUGAAUGAAUUGAGUAUUAGCGCUAAACAAAUUGUUUAAUUAGGUGUAAUAGGUGUAAUUAAAGACAGAACAGUGCAGUAUUCAUUUCGUACUUUUCCUACUCUGUAAAUAGAGCUGAAAGCCAAUCAUGUUGAUGCAAGUAUCCAAAAUCGUAAAUAGAAAUCGUAAUGGAAACAAAUGUUCUUUAUUUGUUGUACAUUAAUAAGUAGCUUAUAUUUCUUUCAAUCUCGCUCUCCCUCUUUCUCUCUCCCUUGCCCUCUAUUUCUUCAUUUUCUUUCUCUCUCCCUUUCUCUCUCUCUAGCUCCCAUAAUGUAUAUUCGCUUCCUCUACGACCUCCCACGAAGCCAGUCUACAUCUCCUUGACUAAUUAUGUCGCUUUUCUUAUUGUCUCACCCUUCCCCCUUCUUUCUUUUUCCUAUCUGUUUCUAUCACUGUCGUUUCACUGUGUCUCUCUUUUAUUAUCUCGUUAUAAUUGUCUCUCUGUUUAACUUAUUUUUCUAUAUUUUAUUCUGCAGC